UACAGGGGGUGCAAACGUUGCUCGGAAUUACUGGGCGUAAAGCGCACGUAGGCGGAUAUUUAAGUCAGGGGUGAAAUCCCGGGGCUCAACCCCGGAACUGCCUUUGAUACUGGGUAUCUCGAGUCCGAGAGAGGUGAGUGGAAUUCCGAGUGUAGAGGUGAAAUUCGUAGAUAUUCGGAGGAACACCAGUGGCGAAGGCGGCUCACUGGCUCGGUACUGACGCUGAGGUGCGAAAGCGUGGGGAGCAAACAGG
rnacentral:rRNA from 1 species